rnacentral:rRNA from 1 species
UAAUACGGAGGGUGCAAGCGUUAAUCGGAAUUACUGGGCGUAAAGCGCACGCAGGCGGUUUGUUAAGUCAGAUGUGAAAUCCCCGCGCUUAACGUGGGAACUGCAUUUGAAACUGGCAAGCUAGAGUCUUGUAGAGGGGGGUAGAAUUCCAGGUGUAGCGGUGAAAUGCGUAGAGAUCUGGAGGAAUACCGGUGGCGAAGGCGGCCCCCUGGACAAAGACUGACGCUCAGGUGCGAAAGCGUGGGGAGCAAACAGGAUUAGAUACCCUGGUAGUCCACGCUGUAAACGAUGUCGACUUGGAGGUUGUGCCCUUGAGGCGUGGCUUCCGGAGCUAACGCGUUAAGUCGACCGCCUGGGGAGUACGGCCGCAAGGUUAAA